rnacentral:snRNA from 1 species
ACACCUUUCUCGGCAUUUUGGCCAGGAUCAAGUUUAGUAUCUGUUCUUAUCAAUUUAAUAUCUGAUAUGUGAGACAAUGGCUCGCACGAUAUUAGAUUAAUUAUUUUAAGGCGGAGAGCUCGCUACGGGAGCAUUCUACCAGGGCUCUCGAGCGUCGCCCUUUCGUUGCACUACUGCAAGGGCCUGGCACACGCUAC